AACGAACGCUGGCGGCGUGCUUAACACAUGCAAGUCGAACGCGAAAGGGACUUCGGUCCUGAGUAGAGUGGCGCACGGGUGAGUAACGCGUAAGUAAUCUACCCCUGUAUUCGGAAUAACCCACCGAAAGGUGAGCUAAUACCGGACACGUUUAUCUUGAUGCGAAUGAUGAUAAAGAAAGGUGGCCUCUUCAUGAAAGCUACUGUACAGGGACGAGCUUGCGUACCAUUAGCUAGUUGGUAGGGUAAUGGCCUACCAAGGCGACGAUGGUUAGCGGGUCUGAGAGGAUGAUCCGCCACACUGGAACUGGAACACGGACCAGACUCCUACGGGAGGCAGCAGUGAGGAAUAUUGCGCAAUGGGGGCAACCCUGACGCAGCGACGCCGCGUGGAUGAUGAAGGCCCUUGGGUCGUAAAAUCCUGUCAGAUGGAAAGAAAUGUAUAGCAGCUAAUAUCUGUUAUAUUUGACGGUACCAUCAGAGGAAGCACCGGCUAACUCCGUGCCAGCAGCCGCCGCCGUAA
rnacentral:rRNA from 1 species